CAUUAUCAUGAAAUCAUAUGAGCGGUAUAACAUAAUACUUAUCACACCAUUGCAAUUCAAUCAUUACACAACAUAUUUUUCCUCAUUUACCAGUCUACUAGUAUCCAUGGGGAUCCAUAGGGGUCCCGCUACCCGUGAACCCUUAACACUUGUAAUCAGAUUCCAGGGCCGUCCCCAUACCCCGUCCGGUAUGGGCGCCAAACUAUAAACCUCAAUACCCCGUCCGGUAUGAGGGUGAAAUGAGCUGUCCCCAUACCCCGUCCGGUAUGGGCGCCAAAACACAUAAGAUCUCCAUACCCCGUCCGGUAUGAGAGACCACAAUCCCGGUAGGGUUUCCUACGGACCCGGUUCGUCCACCAUCUCCCAGGAUAUCUAGUCAGGCUGACCACAUUAUACAAUUACAAAUUUACAUAACCUUUCAUUCCCCUUUUCCUCAGUCAGCGUCAUCAAUUCACACACAAACAAGCAAACCAGUAAUUUAUGCCAAACAAGACAACAUGCAACAUCGG
rnacentral:lncRNA from 1 species